rnacentral:rRNA from 1 species
GAUGAACGCUGGCGGCGUGCCUAAUACAUGCAAGUCGAGCGAAUGGAUUAAGAGCUUGCUCUUAUGAAGUUAGCGGCGGACGGGUGAGUAACACGUGGGUAACCUGCCCAUAAGACUGGGAUAACUCCGGGAAACCGGGGCUAAUACCGGAUAACAUUUUGAACCGCAUGGUUCGAAAGUGAAAGGCGGCUUAGGCUGUCACUUAUGGAUGGACCCGCGUCGCAUUAGCUAGUUGGUGAGGUAACGGCUCACCAAGGCAACGAUGCGUAGCCGACCUGAGAGGGUGAUCGGCCACACUGGGACUGAGACACGGCCCAGACUCCUACGGGAGGCAGCAGUAGGGAAUCUUCCGCAAUGGACGAAAGUCUGACGGAGCAACGCCGCGUGAGUGAUGAAGGCUUUCGGGUCGUAAAACUCUGUUGUUAGGGAGGAACAAGUGCUAGUUGAAUAAGCUGGCACCUUGACGGUACCUAACCAGAAAGCCACGGCUAACUACGUGCCAGCCGCCGCAGUAA